CACCAUCCGUUAUCGCUCCUUCUUUCUUCAUCUUGGUUUCCAUUCCAAUUUGAACGAAAUUGCAUUCCCUUUUACUCUCCACCACCGUAAAGUCGUAAUAUAUUUAUUUGCUCUUUGCUCUUUCUGGAAUAUAUUUAUUGCCUUUUCUUCUCUUCUUGGCUUUGCUUCGUCUCUGCUUCCACUUGUUGAAGAGUUCGUGCUGUCCAAUUGGUCUUUCAUUUCAACCAGAUUUUCGGAUUGCACCUGCCUCUUCUGUUUAUUCUGCGUUUCCUUUUGUCUUCUGCAGCUUCCCCCCAGUGCCAUAGCAGCAGGUGCUGUCUGUUAUGCUUUUUUAUGUCAAAAGUUUGAAGCUUUCCUAAAACCAACAACAAAAUUCGCAGAACGAAACCGGUUCAAGAGGCAAGCAAGUAGCCGGCAUUUAACAGUGAACAAAGCUAAAUGAAGCAAAAGGCAAAAGCAAAGCAAAACUUGGAGACAGAAAAGCUCUCCGCUCUGCAGUGCUCUGCUCUGCGCGGCUUAGUGAAGCACUCAAAACUAUGUUUUCUGAAUUUAUCGCGUAAUUUUCCACUUAUGCAGGCAAUUUGCACAAGACGAUGAUGAUGAUGAUUGUUGAUUCCAACUAAGGUCACAUUAUGCACUUCAUAAAAAAAGCCUGCGGAUCUGGGAGUGACUCAGCCUCAAGUCGGGUGGCUCUCAAAUGUUUAACACUUGUCUUGGGGCAACACACAGUAGCCACAACGAGGAGCAAAUAAACAAACUGGCAAAGCCACAGAAGAGUGAGAGAGAGCAGUAGAAUAAGCUUUGUCAGGGGAAUGACUAAUACUAGAAACAAAAACAAAAGGGGGACGAAGAAAUGAAGUAACACGCGAUUCCAGAGGUGUCAAAUUACGACGUCGAAAGCUCAAGAAAAGUAAACAAAUAUUGAACUUGGAAUUGGAAAUAAUGCGACACGACACCCACCGAAGGGGUUUACGGUUCACGAUCGAACACAAUGUUCCAUCUCUUCUUUCGACCUGCUUCCGUUCCAUUAAUUAACCCAUUUCCAGACGAAUGUAUUUGUAUUACAAACCCUUAGCACCUCAUGAAGAGGGAAAUUGGAAAUUAAUAACUUCCGUCCAAACAAAAACAAAGGGAAUAAGAGUUCAAUAGGCAUACACACGCAUGAUAGGGCCCCACCCAACAGAACGCCUCCCAUCACGCACUCUUGUCAUCGAGGUCGGAAUAUAAACACACGCACGACGACGACAACCGACCAUAUGGGGAUGUCCAGCCAAUCCCCAAACAAUCCCAUUCCAUAUACAUAGUAUAGUAGGAAGAGAACAUUUUGGUGUGUGGUGUUGCAUGCAAUGAAUCUCAACCAUUUCGAUAGAAUUUCAUUCCAGUGGAAGAAACAUCUGCCCUGAGGCUCAGAAAGAAACCAGUCCGACAGCUGUUCGAGAGAGCCGGCGGACGGAGAACAGGUAUCUCAAUGUCAGCGGUACGGUACCCACACUCAUUCAUGCGAAUCGUGUGGCGUUUACCCACACACAGUUAAGUCCACGAAAUAUGGCCAAUUACUGGGCUAAAUGAAAAAGCAAGUUAGAACGUUAUUGUCGAUAUAUGGACAAUUCGAGACCCGCUACAUACCCCGAAACGUCCUCUCAAAUUGUGUGCAAUACCUAUCCGUUGAGAAUGAUUUUCUGAUGAUCGAUUGAGCGUUGUAAAUACCACAUAGCUAUAUCUCGCUCCUCUAUGCCAACCACAAGCACCGGGUGCAACGAAUAAUUAGGUAAUGCGUGACACAGAUAAUUGCAGUCGCCCUGCCCACGCACUCCGCUAACAGUCCAGACACUCAAUUACCGCAAGCUGCAAGUCGGUGGAGCGGCAGACACCACGCAACGCAACCUGUCCACCUCUGCGUGGACACAAGAUGUCAGAGGGAGCUGCCACGCUGCUGACAGAAGGUGAAAACAACAGGCAGAACAACCGCAACAAACCGCAGCCAGAGACAACACGUGAGGGAGAAAGAGAGAGACAGAGAAAGGCAGGAGACAAAAGUGGAGCAGCACGGACCACGUGGGGUUCAGAGGGGGAGUAGCUGCUGACGCGAUGGUGAUGAUGAUUUGACAGACAUUGCGAGACACUCUGCAAAUACGACAAUAGAAUGUAGAGCAGCGAGAGAUAAAGCAUGUUCUAAGCUUUCCAUUCCACUGUGCCUGACCUGCUCUUUCCAGAGCCUCACGGAGAGAGAGGCGUCGACUCAAAUGUGGGUGACAGGAGGAGAAAAAACGAGAGACUUGAGGGUGGAUUUGUUGUAUAAUUGAAAGCGUUGUACAACGACAGUGAGGCUGGCAAAAGCAGAGGAAGGAGGAAGAAGAAGAGCGAAAGACGGGCGAGCACACAGCGACAACACGUGCACAAUCUCCGUCAUGCAAGGGAAUGCAUUUGUGAGAGAGCGAUCCAAGGAGCCCGGGCCACGACAGCGACAGUGGGAGACAAAGAAAAAGGAGGAGACACAAGAAGGAAGAACGAGGAUGAAGAAGAUCAAAACAAGCAUACGCGCUUUGCAUAUUAAAUCGAGUUGACGUCGUCACCGCCACCGCCACCGUCGCCGUCGCCGGCGCAUUAAUUAAGCCAGACGUAAAAAAAUACUUGUUUAAAAAAUACCUACAUACUCGUAUAUCCUGCAGAUUGUGGAGAUGCAAAUGAUACAAGCACGAUGGACAAGUUGGCAGCCCCCGAAAAAAACGAAACGUGACUCAGGCAGGAAAAAAAAGCAUAAAGGUACUGAUGGGGAGGGAGAUGGUGUGGAGAGAAGAGGAGUGCAGAGGAGACAACGUGCCUGGACGUACACAUCCAUACCUUGUCGUAGAUGAUGUCUCUGCCUGAUAAGUGUCGCCUCAUUCUGGAAUUGGGGUUCGGUUCGAGUUCGGCUCGAACGGAGGAACGGAGGAGAAACGACAAGAAUUGGUAGAUGGGGGGCGCCAAAACGAUGUUAAUCUUUUCCCCUCUUCCCGCCAACUCUUCCACCAAAUCGGACUGAUUUUCGAGAUUUCUCUGUCUUGUAUUUGGAAGAUAAAAGAGUUUUCAAUUUAACGGAACAUAUAUUUUCAUUAAAAUGUGGAUAUAUGUAUUUAUAAAUGAGCCACA